AUGCGAUAAGUAAUGUGAAUUGCAGAAUUCAGUGAAUCAUCGAAUCUUUGAACGCACAUUGCGCCCAUUAGUAUUCUAGUGGGCAUGCCUGUUCGAGCGUCAUUUCAACCCUUAAGCCUAGCUUAGUGUUGGGAGACUGCCUAAUACGCAGCUCCUCAAAACCAGUGGCGGAGUCUGUUCGUGCUCUGAGCGUAGUAAUUUUUUAUCUCGCUUCUGCAAGCCGGCCAGACGACAGCCAUAAACCGCACCCUCUCGGGGGGCACUUUUUUAAUGGUUGACCUCGGAUCAGGUAGGAAUACCCGCUGAACUUAA
rnacentral:misc_RNA from 1 species